rnacentral:rRNA from 1 species
UCCACGAUUUAGUUACUUAUUUUAAUAAUUUACAUAUCGUUGUAGAUUGAAUAUUUUUGCAGAAUAAUAAUAUUCAAGAUUUUUUAAGAAAAAAAAGAUCAGAUCAAGGUGUAGUUUAUAAAUAAGAAGAAAUGGGUUACAAUAAAUUUAUUUAUACGGAUAAUUAAUUUAAAAUUGAUUUGAAGGAGGAUUUGAAAGUAAUUUUAAUUAAUUUAUUAAAAUGAUUUUGGCUCUAAAAUAUGUACAUAUCGCCCGUCAUUUUCACUAUAAAGUGAAACAAGUCGUAACAUAGUAGGUGUACUGGAAAGUGUACCUAGAAAGACAAAUUAGAGCUUGAUAUAAAGCAUUUUAUUUACAUUAAAAAGUUUACUGUGAAAUUCAGUAUAAUUUGAAUUUAUAAUAUUAUUUAAAUUAUUUGUUUAUAUUAAUAUUUAAAGAAAAUAUUUUAUUGUUUAAUUAAUAAAAAGAAAAAAUUUAUUUAAUAAUAGUGAAUUAGUAUUGUGAGAGAAAUAUUAAAAACAUGGCCUUUUGAAUAUAAUUUAAGGUCUAGCCUGCCCAAUGAAGAUUUAAAUGGCCGCGGUAUUUUGACCGUGCAAAGGUAGCAUAAUCAUUUGUUUUUUAAUUGAAAGCUGGAAUGAAGGGUUGAAUGAGAAAAUAACUGUCUCUAACUAAUUUUUAUAGAAUUUUAUUUUUAAGUUAAAAAGCUUAAAUAAUAUUUGAAGACGAGAAGACCCUAUAGAGUUUAAUAGUUUUGUUAAUUUUAAUUAAUUAGAAUAAAUAUAGUAUGAGUUAGCUAAUUAUUUGAUUGGGGUGAUUUAAAAAUUAAAUAAACUUUUUAUUUAUUAAUACAUUAAUUAAUGAGUAUAUGAUCCUUUUUAAAGAUUAAAAGAAUAAAUUACCUUAGGGAUAACAGCGUAAUUUUUUUUUAGAGUUCAAAUCGAAAAAAAAGAUUGCGACCUCGAUGUUGGAUUAAAAUUAAUUUUUGGCGUAGUAGUUAGAUAAUUUGGGUCUGUUCGACCCUUAAAAUUUUACUUGAUCUGAGUUCAAACCGGUGUGAGCCUAGGUUGGUUUCUAUCUCAAAUUAGUUAACUAUAUUUUAGUACGAAAGGACCUAAAUAUGUAUUUAAUAAAUUUAUUAAAGAAUAUUUUUAAAAUGUUAUUUUGGCUAGAUUAGUGCGAUAGAUUUAGAAUCUAUAUAUGUAAAUUUUACUAAAUAAUACUUGAUUUUUAAAGAUUUAAUAAUAAUAAUAAUUUCUUAGAGUUAUUUUAGUUUUAUGUGUUAUAAUUGGAGUUGCAUUUCUAACUUUGUUAGAGCGGAAAGUUUUAGGAUAUAUUCAAAUUC